AGCUGCACCGGUCCAGCGGCGGACUCAUAAUCCGUUGGUCGCUGGUUCGAGUCCAGCCGGCCCCA
rnacentral:tRNA from 1 species